rnacentral:tRNA from 1 species
UUCUGAUUUAGCUAAUCAGGCUGUUAGCAAGAUUAAUGAAGGUAUCUCAAAGAUUACAGCUUAUGCAGAUGAAGUU